rnacentral:rRNA from 1 species
GAUGAACGCUGGCGGCGUGCCUAAUACAUGCAAGUCGAGCGAACAGAUGAGGAGCUUGCUCCUCUGACGUUAGCGGCGGACGGGUGAGUAACACGUGGAUAACCUACCUAUAAGACUGGGAUAACUUCGGGAAACCGGAGCUAAUACCGGAUAAUAUAUUGAACCGCAUGGUUCAAUAGUGAAAGACGGUUUUGCUGUCACUUAUAGAUGGAUCCGCGCCGCAUUAGCUAGUUGGUAAGGUAACGGCUUACCAAGGCAACGAUGCGUAGCCGACCUGAGAGGGGGACCGCCACACUGGGAACGGGGACCCGGCCCAGCCCCCGAGGGGGGGCGGCGGUGGGGAAUCUUCGGCAAUGGGGGAAAGCUGGAGGGGGCAACGCGGGGUGGGUGAGGAGGGUCUUGGGUUGGAAAAACUCUUUUAUUGGGGAGGAACAAAUGGGUAGUUACCUAGGCACGUUUGGCGGGUACUUAACCAAGAGGCCCCGGCUAACUC